UUAGUAACGGCGAGCGAAACGGGAAGAGUCCAACUUGAAAAUCUCCAGCUUUCAGCUGGCGAAUUGUAGUCUAGAGAAGCAAUCUCUGUGGCCACUCAUGCCCAAAUUCCCUGGAACGGGAUGUCGGAGAGGGUGAGAGCCCCGUCGGCAUGGUGUUGGUCGCUCCACGAGAUGCUUUCGCAGAGUCGGGUUGUUUGGGAAUGCAGCCCUAAUUUGGUGGUAAGUCCCAUCUAAGACUAAAUACUGGCGAGAGACCGAUAGCGAACAAGUACCGUGAGGGAAAGAUGAAAAGAACUUUGAAAAGAGAGUUAAAUAGUGCUUGAAAUUGUUGAGGGGGAAGCCAUUGGCGGCUGUGGGUGCACCCGGGCUCAAAGUAUCCCACCGGAUACCUGAAAGUGCCGGGAGCUGGUCAGCAUGGGCUGUGCCUGCGGGAUAAACCUUUCUGUGUCGAAAGUCUAUGCCGUGGGGGCGGCCGAGGAACGAAGAGCGCUCUGCCUCCGAGCUGCGUUCUCAAGAUGCUGACGGAAGGGCGCCAAUGGGCCCGUCUUGAAACACGGACCAAGGAGUCUAACAUGUACGCGAGUUGGUGGGUGGAAAACCCAUAAGCGCAAGUAACCUGACUGGUGGGAUGGCCUGUGCCUGCACCAUCGACCGACCAUGAUCUUCUGUGAAAGGUUCGAGUACGAGCGUACCUGUUGGGACCCGAAAGAUGGUGAACUAUGCCUGAGCAGGGCGAAGCCAGAGGAAACUCUGGUGGAGGCUCGUAGAUGUGCUGACGUGCAAAUCGCUUUUCGGACUU
rnacentral:rRNA from 1 species